GUAACUUUUUCUGUGUUAGAUGUUUAAUUGGCCCAAAUUUCUAGGAAGAUAAAGGAUUGCAUGGCAGAGUCGUUAGCAACCAAAAUCUACUCGUUUUCUUCCCUCUCUGAAGGACUGAAUAUUUUGCUCGUUAUAUGGAUAUGCGUUUAAGCAUCUUGAUCAGUGGACUUAUAUUUCUUAUGCUAGGGAAGUUGCAUAAAACGGGCUCCAUGGAUGACACAGUAAUAUGAUUACCCCACGUGUUCAUUCUCUGAUUCCAUGGUGUGCUGUCCUUGGUGAGGGGGCGUGGCAACACCUCAUGGGGACAGGGUAAAGCUCUAAGUCUCCCUGCAGCCUGGAUAGUGACGGCUAAGGAGAAGGAUAUGGAAGACGGGGAGAAAUAGGAUCUGGCUGUGGGGGGAUAUGUUUUCAGAGAUGUGUGUCUGAAAGAAGCCGCAGCUAUUUUCUGAUCAAGUUGCUCUUUGCACUGAUGUUCCAUGCAUUUUUUUUUUUUUUUUGCUUAAAGUUGAUCUCAUUCCUAAAGCCAUGCUUUAAAGAAACCUUCUGUUCUCUGCCCAGAAAACUACAGCCGACCUACCGAUGUGGUUGUAUUUAGGUUAUAACCUGCUCAGGGAGUUGAGAAGGUGCCGCACACCCAGUUAUAAGAUGCUAGGGAGCUGACAAAAUCAGCACAUGGAAAUUUCUUUAUCUAAUAUGGUUCUAGACAAUCAGAUCAGCACUCUUAUCCCUAUUGCUAAAAGGCAGCUUUGUUUAGUUUCUUAGGUGACCCCCAAAUAAAAGGAAGUAGGAUGUGUGUGCUGGGGGUCUCUCAUGAGGGACCUUCUGAAGUAUUUUGCUGGGUGUCUGCUAGCUGGGCACGGCUACUGUGUGUCUGCUGAGCUUCCACCGCUGACCCACUUCUAUUUCCUUCCUCCUGAGAGGCGAUCUUAGCAUCUCUGCUCAGGCCUCAAGCAGAGGUAGAAUUCAAUAGCAUUUGUUCCCAGGAGUCUUCUCUCAGAUAAAAGCAAAAAACAAAAAACAAACCAAAACAAAAACAAACAAAAAACCCCCAACUCCCUCCCAUAGUUUAAAGACAGCUUUUAUGAGCAAGGAUCUGGAGCUCAGCCACGUGUCCCUGAGUCGCUGUUCUGCGGAGGAGAGUGAGCUGAUGACAAGGCUCCGGGGCCCACACCGUGGUGCCUCAUGUUAAUUACAUGUCGUGGCACGUUCACUGCACUUCCUUCCCCACCUACCUGAUGUUAUUUUCACUUUCAGCCACUUUUUCAGGCACUCUUGAUGAACAAACUGCAGGCUUCCCACACAGCCGCAAGGCUCCAGGAGGGGGUUGCUUGGGGAACCCCCGGCUAUCUGACAGAUGCGACACAAGUCUCCCUCCUCCUCGGAGUCCUCCUCCAGGAGACUAAAUGUGAAAACAAGCCCUCGUGACCAGGAGGCUACACGUUUGCAGUUUCUACAAAUACCAGUUCCCAGAGCAUUGACAGAGAAGGAAGAGGGCUCCUGGUACUCACCCGCUGCCCCCUCUGACCCUAGUGAGAUGAUUUUUGAUAACACAGGCACAAAUUCUCUCUUUUUUUUUGAAACAGAGUCUCACUCCGUUGCCCAGGCCGGAGUGCAGUGGCACAAUAUUGGCCCACUGCAGCCUCAACCUCCUCAGGCUCUGGUGAUCCUCCCACUUCAGCCUCCCAAGUAGCUGGAUUACAGGUGCAUGCCACCACACCUGGCUAUUUUAAAAAUUAUUUUGUAGAGAUGGAGUCUCACGAUGUUGCCCAGACUGGUCUUGAACUCCUGGGCUGAAGCGAUCCACAUGCCUUGGCCUCCCAAAGUGCUGGGAUUACAGGUGUGAGCCCCUGGGCCUGGCUGAGGCACAAAUUCUUGUAACAGGCUUCUUUGCAAUUGUCAAUACGUGUGAGCUGACAUGGAGGACCAGCACUGCCACCAUAAAUCAAGAGGUAAAGGGAAAUGGCUACAGAAUCAUUUUCAAACUGGAGUCAAGGCCAGGAGCCCCUCUCCCUGCCAGGAAGUUGGUGGGGGUGGCAUACUGGUGAGUGCAUGGGAUUCGUGGUCAGGGGGCCUGGGUUUGAGGCCAGCCUCUGAAACUUGUGAGUUGUGUGACUUUGGAUAAGUUCCUUAAUCUUCCCAAGACCCUGUUUCCUCAUCUGUACAAUGAGGGUCAUGGUGAUAACACCACUGCCACCUACUUCCUAGGGCUGUGGCCAGGCUGGCUACGUGUGACAAUGAGGAACCUGUUCUGCAAACUGUAAAGUACAUCUAGUGUCUGGCAAGGUGUUGUGCACAGAGUUCACUUAAUAGAUGUUGGUUUAGGUGGAUGAUGAACCAAUAAACCUGGACACAAUCUCCCGAAUAACACCACACAUGCCAACAAAUGACAUCAGCAUUCCAGAAUGUAAGCGGCUGGAAUCUGAUGAAGAUAAGAACUAACGAAAAUAGACCCAGACACAUGCAAAUGGCCUUCUGAGUUCAUUCUUGAUGGAGAGGAGCUGGAAGAAUCCACUAAGGACAAAUUGCCCUGUGGAUUUAGUAAGAGAUCUGUAUAUAGUGGAGCCCCCUGAGGCUGGCUUGUUAAAGUAGUAUCUUCUGCUUCCCUGACAGCAAAUUCGUGUGCACUGUUUACUGGGAAAUAAUUAUGGUUUUCGGCACUGGCAAAUGGAGUCCUAUUUCUAAUGGGAGACAGUGGUUGGCAAACAUGAAACCCUGAGUUUCCCUCUGAGUCUGAGCUGUGAACUGAAGUCGAUGACAUUGACAAGUCUACUGGAAUAUCAUCUCUCAGAGCAGAAUGCAUGAAUGAUGCAGGAGGGUUAUAGGAUGAAUUCACUGAUGAUCUUGGAGAUAUUGGUCUGCCAGAAAUAAAGUAGUCAAGAGAAUUUUGAGAACUGUUUAAAUAGUCUUUCCAGUAUCCUUCAGAAUCAUGGGUGCCAGGCCUAUGUUCCACAGAAAUACAAUCACUCCAUACAUUUUCAGCAUUGACACCAACCUCUUGUCUGGGCUCGGAUUUGGUGUCCCACGAAAGAGGGCUCUUUUUCGCAUUUUCACUGCCACCUCUGUCCUUCUCUGUAGCAGAUUCCCUAUCAGGCAGCCCGGGGUCUUGGGACAACCUUUGCCCAGCAGAAGGCCGCUCUGUUGCUGGCUCCAUUGCAUUGCUUAUUCUCAAUGAGCCAUGACUGGGCUCACUUCUUCUUGAAGAAUGACCUCUGCAAUUUUCAGCAUUUUCUUCAAAAUUUUUAUUUUUGGCCUGAGGGGUCGAUGUCCCCCCAAAUCUACUUCUUUUGUGAUGGGAAGGAGAACAGGGUGAGCGCACACCAACCCACAGACAUUCUUCAGACUGGGUUUCCUCUUCAGUGUCAUCGCUUUCUCUUCUGCUGUUCAAUGACAAAAUGGAAUAAAAGUCUUCAUCUCGGAACCUAAAUGAUGCCUUUCUUGGCCCUCCUACAGUGGUGGGUGUGAGUGGUGGCCCCGAGAACUCACUCAAUACUUGAGGACUAUUUUUUCCUUGGAAGGCCUGGGACAGGGCUGGAUGCAGCUCACUCUGGGAAGGAGCACUCGGGUCUCCUUUUUUGGCUCUAUCAGGGGCGUUCUCAGUCAUUGGCUGUGACGAUGGGACCAAGUUUCUUCUCUCUUGAUUUGGCCUCUUCAGCUUAGUGUUACACAUCAGGCCUUCUUGUUGAACUACUUGAUCUGCAUUGAGAAAAGACACAUUUAUCGUUCCAGUAAAAGGGCCCAUGGAUGAAAGGCCUCUAGCACCAAGUGCAAAAUUGCCCUUUAAAUGCAACAGACAAGACCUAGAGAAGAAAACAGACACGGUCAAAAUGGCUGGAGGUACAAGAGGAGCAGAGCCCAGCAGGCUUCAUUUUACUGCCCCGUAUUCUCCUUUGUACCCCUGUGGUCCUAGGGAAAUGGGGGGACCCUGAGGAUACAGAUUCUUUCUGCAGAAGCUCCCGGAAGACUGGCCCAGCCCCAGCCAGUCAGGACUGAUGAUGCGCAAACCUCACACUAAAUACUGGCUUUUGUUCCAUACGUACUGAAAGGGAAAACCACCACUCUGGGAAUGACUUCUACAAAAACCACCAGCCCUUUCUCAUCCACGUUCAUUCAAUGUACAUUUAUGACACCCUGCCUCCCACGCAGCUUUACAAGAACUUAAGAGAAGUAUAACAUGUCUUGGCAGAUCAGGAGGAAGGCUAUAGGAGCUGGCGCCCGGGGAACACUGGGGAUUUUGGUCAUGUUUACUAUUUAGUGAAAAUAAAAAUUAUAAAUCGCUCAUGAAAUCGUUAUCUUCUCUUUGUCACUAGCCCCAGGUCAAUUCUGUAACUUCUGGCUGCCCUAGAAUCCCUACUAUGAAUUCCUACACAGAAUCACUGAACUGGCCAGAAGCAUGCUAACUGUCUCUCUCUGUCUCUCUCUGUCACACACACACACACACACACACACACACACACACACACAACUUAAGCCUCACAACCCUGUGAAAUAGGUAACACAAUCAUACGACAUUAUAACUUGAGAGUACCAAGGCUUAGGGCAGUCACAUAACUAGCCCAAGAUCCUAUUUCCAGUAAGUGAUGGAAUGAACAUUUGAACCCACGCCUGCUCGAUACUAGGGUUUGUGUUCUUAACCACCACCCUGUGUUAGCCCUUAAGAAACUGGCUGGCCUUCCGAUUUCCUUGUGAAAAUGAGAAUCCAUUGAAUUCAUCGUGGUGUGUGUGUGCUGUUGAGGGUCUUUUACCCUCUUGAUGUGAGAAGGAAACUGACAGUACUUCUCUGAUGCCACUUACCUUUAUUCCCUCCUGACAUCGGCCUCCCCCCGCUUUGUUCUCCUCUCUGCUAUUGUGUGGGAUCUGAUGAGAUGCUGCUCUUUUUAUCAUUCCAUUUCUAAAGCGGUUCACCCUGUAGAGUGGACGGGACUCCACGGGCCCUGGAAGGUCUGUGUUGAUAACAGCUCGGGCUGGUGAAAUGCAAAUCCUCAGAGCAUCGGGCACCACCAAGGGCCAAGUCAAUUCUGGCUCACUUUAAUUGGGGCUCCUCACAGGGGGACACCAGUGUGAGUCUCUAAUGUCCUAACACUCGGGCAGCUUCUUUUAUUGUUAACUGCAUGGGACACUCAGCAACGCAGUAUGAAUCUUGACUCAUCAGCUCUUCUAGAAAUCAGUUAAGCUCUCCUCUCAGGCCCCUCCUGGGUUUUAUAAACCCCAGUUAGAGAUGCAGCAGCAAUUCAAGGAUGCUUUGAGCAUCUGGCUGUGGAACUACAGCGCUGGAGCUGGUGGCGAGGCCACUCCAGACUGGGCCGACCCCCAUUUUGGGAACAAAUGCUUCUACGUAAGCAACUGAAUUCUCCUGAAAAUUUUUUAAAAUAGAAAAGGGGGCUGGGGGCUGUGGCUCACGCCUGUAAUCCCAGCACUUUGAAAGGCCGAGGUGGGCAGAUCACUUAAGGUCAGGAGUUCAAGACCAGCCUAGACAACAUGGUGAAACCCCAUCUCUACUAAAAAUACAAAAAUUAGCCGGGUGCUGUGGUGUGUACCUGUAAUCCCAGCUAUUUGGGAGACUGAGGCAGGAGAAUCGCUUGAACCCAGGAGGCAGAGGUUGCAGUGAGCCCAGAUAGUACCACUGCACUCCAGCCUGGGCAACAGAGUGAGACUCUGUCUUAAAAAU
rnacentral:lncRNA from 1 species